rnacentral:lncRNA from 1 species
CAAUACAAGUUGUUCACCAACAAAGCAACAUAUCAAGUUGGCAUUAUCUAAAUAUAACAACAGGUUAUGAGCUUUGCUCGCGGAGACAGUCCAUGACUGGUUUCUGACUGAUUCGCAUGCGCAGUUCCGUUUUCAAGCGCUUGAAAACGGAACUGCGCAUGCGAAUCAGUCAGAAACCAGUCAAGGACUGUCUCCGCGAAUAAAGCUAUGGAUUUCGAUGCCAGUUUUAAAUAAAUUAUUAUCUCGAAUGACGUAGAAAACAUUUGAACGUCCUGGAAUAAUAAAUAAUACCCGUAUUUGUACCUAUGAGGUUGGCCGAUAGCGUGGAUUAGCCUUUUGAUCCCUCUACAGAUUAGGCACUAUUAUCUUAGAGCCCUUUCGGUAGCCUGCCGUAUCUGAUUAUGUAAUUCUACUCUUUACUCCGUCCCCUUACCAAUAACGUCUCAUACGUUACACCCCGUUUGGUAAUUGUAAACGGAUAUUUCGCAAGGAGCCGCUCGGGGGGUCGUAAAAUGACCAGAAUUGAUCUUAAAUUUUUUUCUAAAUUUCCCCAGAAUCUGGGAAAAAAUUGAUUUUCUACCUCGCUCUAACACAUAGGCUCUUAUGAAAGGCGCUGUUGCCAGAUGUUGUGAAAUGCCGAGUUUUUCAGGAGAUCUAGUGAAAUUUUAUUUUUGUGGUUACGUUCUGUUGCAGCCUAUUUACAUAUACGAAGACUGAUAAACACAUUCGCGAUAUCAGUCGGAAACAAAUGCUGGAAGUGGCCCCAUAAAAUUUGGAUUAUGUACAAUUUUAUGUUGAUCAAAACCUUAUCAUAUAGGUUUUGCUUUCUUAUUUCAAUUUAAUCAACAUAAUGGAGAAGUAUCCAAGACCAGAGAGGUUCGACGGAGAUCCAUCUGUGAAAUCAACGGCAAAGGAAUGGGACCAUUUGAAAAGUACCUCCAUGAACUUUUAUGCUGCCCAGGUUGUCACUUCCACUGUUGUACAACCUCUAGACACUAAUAAUACCAAACUACAACUAUUAGUAAAUCUUAUUUCGCUAAGAGUAUAUACCUAUAUAAGCGAUUAUGAAACUUACAAUGAAUCCAUUCAAACGCUUGAUAAAAUAUUCAUCAAACCAAAUAUAUCAUUCAUGAACGUCACACACUAGACGAGACUAUCGAUACUUACAUGCAAUUGUUAAAACAGUUAGCAUUUACUGCCAAAACUAACAAAAAUAACAACGGCCCUUUGAAGCUUUCAUCGCUGGAAUGACGUCCACAAAGAUACGAUCAAGAUUGUUAGAAAGUUUAACGUUAACAUUAGAAGAAACUUAUGAUAUAGCUACUUCGAUGGAAAUAGCAGAACUCAACUCUCAGGUUUGUGGAAAUCAAAAUCCAACACUGAGUGUUGGACCUACCUGGUAACUAUAAAUUCGACUUACAGAGCUCUCCAACGAAUUCUGAAAGUGUCACUGUGACAGCUGCUACCUACUACUAACUCUUCAAGGUCAAGCAAAAGAAACACACGUUUCUUCCGCGGUGGGCCAAUACAUCCAAGGAAGAAUUGUCUGGCUCAGAAAUCCAUCUGCAAAUCCUGUGAUAAAAAGAGGCACUUUGCCGCUUCAAGAACAAGGUUUGCCGCUUCAAGAGCAGUAGUGCGUCUACCAACGUAUUUGAAGGCUACCAUCACUGCUCCUCUUCAAGAAUUUAAAUAACAUUCAUGAUGUUUGGAAUGCCUACAGACAUUCAGAUAGACAGACUCAAUUUCUAUUAGCUGAAGUCAAAGAGUUUCUCAACUCCAGAGGAAUCGCAAGAAGUAGAACUACUGCUUAUAAUCCUCAAGGAAACGGGAAAGUAGAGUUGAAUUCUAUCUACUGUCUAGAAAGCUGGCCUGUGAAUCACAUGAAGCACCUACUAAGACUUAGAAACAACACCUACCAGUUGCGCUGCUUUCCAUACAGCAUUCAUUUUUAUGUAGCACAAAUAACUAACCGUAGACUGCAUGAAAGAAUGUUUGUGCAUAUACGUCGAUCUCCAAAUGGGAAUACAAUACCGUCAUGACUAACAGUGUAUAAGUGGUCCAGAGUUCUAAUCAUAAAUAAAUGGAAGAUGGACAAUGUACCGGUGUAUAUAACAAAACUUCCAUAAAACAAAAAUCGCUAUUAACGAAGUAAACAAAGUGGAAACCUGAAGAAAGCUCUCAUAUAGAAUAUAAAACCGAUUGCUACGAAACCUAACCUAACAAAACCUAAAAAUAGGUGAGACUGAUUAAUGCUUACAUAAGCUCCAACGCAGAAUGCUCCAGGAGUAACUAAACGCUAUAUCGAGAUCAGCAAAACCUACAUAUUGAAGAAUAAUUAAGAAUAAUCCUUAUCCAGAACAUUUCUAGAGGGUACCAACAGCUAACGCUAGAAUAACAAAGAAAUACAUACAUAAUUUUUACAUAGACGAACCAUUUCAGUAGCUAAAUCAAAAAUGGCUUCAGAAAACAGUUCAACUGCUUCAAACAUACAACCUAAAACGAACUAAAGCCUUGCAACCAAGAUUGUGAACUUCAUUUCAUAUACAUAUGUAUAUUCUACCCCUUCUGUCUAUUCGUAAAAUUGCAACAAGUAUAUUGAUUGUGACUCGACCAUCACAAUUCAAAUGUGAACGUCGAGCAACAUUUGGAAGCAUGUUUGAAAGACUGUUAGAGCUUGAAGAUCAGGCUAUUCCCUCGCUACCGAACAACCUCAUACGCAGCAUAAUUUACAAGCAAAUUAACCUAGUAUAUAAAAAAGAACUAAUAAAUAUAAAAACAUUGCUUUAAUUGUCCGAAGAACAAGUACAGAAACCAGAUUUUGAAUAUAUUUGAUCUUCUACAAUGUUUUGUUGUAUUUUUGUUUCCAUAUUCUUAAAACUAAAGUUGUACCGGAUUAUCGUAACUUCUGUUUGACGUUUCAUACAUUUAUCUACACUGAAAUUCAAAUAUAUCUUGCACAAGAGCGAAAUCUGUAACAUAUCAUCAAAUUGACAGUGACAAUUGGCAAGCGAGAAAUGACAGGUCUUUCAUAUAUGAUGUCAUCAGAGAGGCAUCAAAAGCAUUUUACUGAAAUCACAUGUGUGCGAAAUGAAUAUCGGACGGGGCUUCGUAUUCCGCAUAUAUUUGAGAAAAUGACUCAGAAAUUAUUGGCAGACAUAAAAAAUAAAUGAUCGAACAAUAAACGAUUAAAAGACGAUAAAAUCAUUGUUCCAGACAAUGAAGUACUAAUAAUCUUGUCAUCAUGAUGACUUAUACCUUACAAACAGUUAUACCCCAGUCUAUCUGUGAAAGAAUAAUUGAGUUCACCUAAAAAUCUUAUACAUGUUUUUGAAAGUUCUAAAAGGUAUAUAAGGGGGAGCUGAUGACAAAUACUUGUAGACGGACAGCUGAUUUUGCUUUGUUUUUUUAACAGGCACAAAAAGUGAAAAAAUAAUUUUUUGCCUAAAACGUUUUUUUAUACAUUUUAGACAAAAAUAAAUGGUUUAAAUAAUGUUGUAGAUCUUAAAAAGUUCUUCAAUGUACGAGAUUCUAAGUUAAAAUGCAUAAACAACUGACCGAGAUAAUUGCAAGAACCGCCGAUUUUUCCAGUGAUCUUAUAUACCUACUUAAUGAGUUGAAAUGUGUGUAGAGAAAAAGUUCUCACUUUUAAUAUACAUUUUAAAACUUUCAAAAAUCUGCGUAAGAUUAAUAGAUGCUUUCAGCUGUUUUUUCUAAAGGGCCUAUUAAAGCAAUCUCAGAUUCCGCAGUCAAGAUAUUCAUCUUACACCUAUGCCACCUAGAUUUUAUUUCGAUUUUUAAGAACAUCUGAAAUAAUAAAGUUCUCAAGCUGUUAUUUAAUAUGUUUUUGUGGUGAAAUACACAAAAAUAAACUAAGAGUCUUAUUUAAAAAGGAAGUAAAUAAUUAUUGAAAAUAAAAUAAAAUAAUUAUUGAAAAAAAAAUAAUCGUUCGUAAUAUAUAAAAUGCACAAGCCAAACUAUAGCUAUGACUUUUAACAAGAAAUUAAUAAAUAAAUGUUGUCAAUCUAGAAAAUAAUAUAUGACAUAGAGACAUAGACAAAAGAAAAGAAGGAGCCAUAAAAAUCGGUAAAUAUUGAUUUAUUCAGAAAGAAUGAGGGAUUGGAAAUAACGUGAGCACAUAAAGUAGUAUCGCGCAUAUCUUUAUGCCAAACAGAGAUGUUUUGACCACGUCUUAAUUCACUCUGUUUUGGCAUUUCUCAAAUCAUUCACCAUUCACUCUGUUUGGUCACGUCUUUCUUCAAUGAUCUGACUGUACACUAUACAUUUACUCCACAUAGUCUGCAAUCCGUUAAAGAGCAUUUUUCUACAAAAGCAGUCGUCAAUAAAAAGUUGUUAGUAGUGCUUUUUGUGUGAAUAAGUGUUUAGAAGUUUGCUUCGUUUUUGGGAGCCUUUAGACCCAAUUGAUAUUGCCACACCUCCACAGCCAGGAGAUCUGCGUGCCAGUGAAUUUUGAUAAACAAAUAGUGCACAUAGACUUUUGAAAGACUCAUUUAACUAUAAGUACUUAUUGUAGUUAUAGUAUUUUGUUUCUCUGUAUGAUCAUUUGUUGGAUCUAUUUGUUUAUAUUUAUGUUGUUUUUCCUUUAGUUUCCAGUUUGUUUUGCUAUAUGCCAUUGUUGUAGAAAUUAAUUUUACAACAUCAAGUGGUCCAUCGAGCCGAUUCUUGAGGCUCUUAUCUAUCUGUAAUCUCGUUCUUAUCAUAUUGAUUCAAAACCCCACAACAAUAUCUAUAAUAUUUUAUCUCAAAAACAUUUCUAGAUUGACAAUCUUAUCUGAUGUACCUAAUUUAUACAGAAAACUACCAGUUGCUUUUGUCUAAUAAAAAAUUUCGACAAAAUGUAUCACAUUGACAAUAGAAUUGUCAAGACUAAUUAAAAAUAAUUUAAAAAAUAGUCGAAAAUUACUUCAGUCCAUAAUUCUACCUGUCAUUAUUUGCGGCAGAAGAAAA